UGCUUCAACAGGAUAGAGCUUCCUGGCUGC
rnacentral:piRNA from 1 species